AUCUCUCUGUUUUUUCUUUUUUCUGUUUUCAAUUUUAGAACUCCACCUUAACACCAUAAAAUACAACACUAAAAUCAACCACCGUUCAUUUUUUCUAGCAAACAAAUCGCGAAGACCCAGCAGCUCUAACCAUGGGUAAAAAUUACCGAAAAUGAGAUUGGAAUUUUAGGGGUGUCAAUGAUAUUGUUAUGGCGUGGUUGUUGCUAUUGAUUAUUUUUCAAGACUGAAGAAGAGGAGGCAGAUUAAUGGGGGAAUGUCAUGGGUGUAAUUUGCCGGAAAUGGGAUUGAAAUUUUGUUGUGGUCAGUGAAGGUGGGAAGGAGAACGGGAAGAAGAUGAAGUUGAUAGGGGACGUAGAAGAGGGGCAGAAGGAAGAAGAUGAAUGCCCGGGGGAGGGGUUGGCGCUGGUUUUGGGUAGAAUGAAGAAGAUGAAGUUGUGUGUGUGUAUGGGGGGGGGGGGGGGGGUAGGGGUUGGCGCUGGUUUGGGUAGAAUGAAGAAGAUGAAGUUGUGUGUGUGUAUGUGGGGUGGGGGGGG
rnacentral:lncRNA from 1 species